GGGAAGUUUGUUUUAAAUAAGUUAUUUGAGGUUGAAAAACGGGAUUUUACGCCAUAUUUGACGAUGAUUGACAGCCGCCGAUCUUGCGUAGCUCUCUUUGUGAAUAGCAAAGUUACGUAGUGAAGGAAAGCCGAGACGCCAUUGAAUUUUUCCGUUCAGUUUUUUCGUCUUUUUUGAGCUGGCAAAAUGAGUUGAUCUGCAGUAAACUGUUCUAACCGACCUGUGGGAGCUAAGGGAUCUUUGCAGUUUUUUCGGUGACCAUGAUGCAGCCAGACUGAAGCAGCACGUUGUGAAGGUGGACGCCAUCAUCUUGUCUUUGCAGCGCUGAUUCUGAAGAGAACGCCUUCAUAUAGGACUCAAAGGAAAUCAAUGCUCAAAGGAAACAGCAGUCCAGACUCUGAUUCCAGCUCCGAAGAUGCCCUCAGAUUCAGAUCCAUCAACAACCCCUGACAACAUGGAGGACUCGACCCCUGAGCGUUUCCUGUCCUCUCUCCAUGGAGUUCUUCUCUUCAGUUAUUAACUCUUGAAAACAGCAGCACAACAUGCCAGACUGUUUGACAAGUCUGUGAUUGAAUAAAU